GAUUUCUCUGCAAUGUACAUGUGCUAUACAUGUAACAUAGAUAAAAGGAUGUAUAUCAUAAUGUAAACCCAGAUUGGAUCCACCUAAGUUAGUUUUAUAAGAAGAGCCUACUGUCUUAUAAAUGAUAUACAUGUAUGUGUAGCUAAGAACCUCUCAUUGAAGGAUAGUGGAAAUCAUACUACAGGUUAACACGCUUCAUAAUACAUCUACAGACAAUGGAAAUCAUACUACAGCUUAACACGCUUCAUAAUACAUCUACAGAUAAUGGAAAUCAUACUACAGCUUAACACGCUUCAUAAUACAUCUACAGAUAAUGGAAAUCAUACCACAGGUUAACACGCUUCAUAAUACAUCUACAGAUAAUGGAAAUCAUACUACAGCUUAACACGCUUCAUAAUACAUCUACAGACAAUGGAAAUCAUACUACAGGUUAACACGCUUCAUAAUACAUCUACAAAUAGGAGGUAAAUUGCUAGAUAUGUAAUAUUUCUACAAAAAGGUUUUUAUUCUUUAUGUAUAGUUUUUGCCCUGUCCAUCUGUCUGUCUGUGACAAAAAACUUUUAAUCUUGGUAAAGCUCUCUUAUUUGGUAUGUACAUGUGUAUAUAUAUAUAUAUUUUUUUUUUCCUUGUGGCAAGACCUUUCCAAUGAAACCAAAAUCUUUGACCUGGUGACCUUUGACCAACUUUAAGAAAAUUCAAAUAUAAGCCAUAUCUUUCAUAUUGUAAGAGAUGCUGUUUUUAGAUAUAGCAUGUACAUUUUUUGUGAGAAGACCUUUCCAAUGAUACCAGAUUUGUUGACCUUGACCAUUGACCUAGUUUUUGGGU